rnacentral:lncRNA from 1 species
CUUCAAUUGCUAAUGCCGUACUUGGGGUUUUAGAAGGAGUGGAAAUUCUAGAUUGAGUUCUCUUUGCUCUUCUCUCUCUCGCCCUUCCAGUCCAUCGAUUGUUAGUUCUCUUGAGACUUCUGUUACAUCCCUUAAGUCAGUCUUAAGGGUAGAUAGCGCUAUAGGCUAACGAUAAGAUUCAAGGGCCUUCUAUUUAGUCGAUGCUUCUUUUUCCUUUGAUGGAGAAGUAGUAGUUGCUUCUCUCUGAAAGUUCAAGCGAGUUCUUGGAGUGCUUUUGUAAGAAGCCCCCUCCUGUUGGCGUGCUAUAAAAUGGAAUUCGAGUGAUAGGCCAAUGCUAAGUCUUCCAUGUCGUUGGAUAGUAGGUUCGAGGGCAAGGAAGGAGGUUAUCAUUUUGAAGCCUGCGAGCUAGUAAUUCCUCUCCUCG